UACGAGGGGGGGCAAGCGUUGUUCGGAAUUAUUGGGCGUAAAGAGCUCGUAGGCGGUGUGUCGCGUCGGCCGUGAAAACCUGGGGCUUAACUCUGGGCGUGCGGUCGAUACGGGCAUCACUAGAGUUCGGCAGGGGAGACUGGAAUUCCUGGUGUAGCGGUGAAAUGCGCAGAUAUCAGGAGGAACACCGGUGGCGAAGGCGGGUCUCUGGGCCGAUACUGACGCUGAGGAGCGAAAGCGUGGGGAGCGAACAGG
rnacentral:rRNA from 1 species